rnacentral:tRNA from 1 species
ACGUGACAGUCGGCGGCUUCUCCGACGGCGCCUCGUACGCGCUGUCGUUGGGCCUGGCGAACGGGGAUCUGUUCGACGCGGUGGUGGCGUUC